rnacentral:rRNA from 1 species
GACGAACGCUGGCGGCGUGCUUAACACAUGCAAGUCGAACGGGCCUUGUCCCCUUUUUUUUUGGGGGUGGGGUUAGUGGCGAACGGGUGAGUAACACGUGAGUAACCUGCCCCUCACUUCUGGAUAACCGCUUGAAAGGGUGGCUAAUACGGGGUGUUCUGGCCUGCUCGCAUGGGUGGGUUUGGAAAGAUUCGACCGGUUUUGGUUGUUUUGGUGGGGGAUGGGCUCGCGGCCUAUCAGCUUGUUGGUGGGGUGAUGGCCUGCCAAGGCUUUGACGGGUAGCCGGCCUGAGAGGGUGGGCGGUCACACUGGGACUGAGACACGGCCCAGACUCCUACGGGAGGCAGCAGUGGGGAAUAUUGCACAAUGGGCGCAAGCCUGAUGCAGCGACGCCGCGUGAGGGAUGGAGGCCUUCGGGUUGUGAACCUCUUUCGCCAGUGAAGAAGGUCCUGCUCUUUGUGGUGAGGUUGACGGUAGCUGGGUUAAUGAAGCGCCGGCUAACUACGUG